UACGAAGGGUGCAAACGUUGCUCGGAAUUAUUGGGCGUAAAGCGCACGUAGGCGGCAUUGCAAGUCGGAUGUGAAAUCCCUCGGCUUAACCAAGGAAGUGCAUCCGAAACUGCAGUGCUUGAGUACUUAAGAGGAUCGCGGAAUUCCCGGUGUAGAGGUGAAAUUCGUAGAUAUCGGGAGGAACACCAGUGGCGAAGGCGGAGAUCUGGGAAGAUACUGACGCUGAGGUGCGAAAGCGUGGGGAGCAAACAGG
rnacentral:rRNA from 1 species